CCGCACAGUAAACGAUGAAUGCUGGUUCUUGGCGAUAUACAGUCAGGAACUGAGGGAAACCAUUAAGCAUUCCACCUGGGGAGUACGCCGGCAACGGUGAAACUCAAAGGAAUUGACGGGGGCCCGCACAAGCGGAGGAACAUGUGGUUUAAUUCGAUGAUACGCGAGGAACCUUACCCGGGCUUGAAUUGCAGCUGCAUAGGGCAGAGAUGCCCUUUCCCUUCGGGGCUGCUGUGAAGGUGCUGCAUGGUUGUCGUCAGCUCGUGCCGUGAGGUGUCGGCUUAAGUGCCAUAACGAGCGCAACCCUUGCUGUCAGUUGCCAUCAGGUAAUGCUGGGCACUCUGGCGGGACUGCCAUCGCAAGAUGUGAGGAAGGUGGGGAUGACGUCAAAUCAGCACGGCCCUUACGUCCGGGGCUACACACGUGUUACAAUGGGGAGUACAGCGAGCAGCUUGGUGGCGACACCUGGCCAAUCUUUAAAUCUCCUCUCAGUUCGGACUGGAGUCUGCAACCCGACUCCACGAAGCUGGAUUCGCUAGUAAUCGCGCAUC
rnacentral:rRNA from 1 species